AUUUUCUGCCACCGAAUACAUUAGCAUGGGAUAAUGGAAUAGGACCCUGUCCUCCUAUUUUCAGUUGGUUUUGGCAGCGCGAGGACUAGGGUAAUGAUUAAUAGGGAUAGUUGGGGGCAUUAAUAUUUAAUUGUCAGAGGUGAAAUUCUUGGAUUUAUGAAAGAUUAACUUCUGCGAAAGCAUCUGCCAAGGAUGUUUUCAUUAAUCAAGAACGAAAGUUAGGGGAUCGAAGACGAUCAGAUACCGUCGUAGUCUUAACCAUAAACGAUGCCGACCAGCGAUUAGGAGACGUUGAAUACAAAACACCACCAUCGGCGCGGUCGUCCUUGGCGUCGGUCUUUCGGGGCCGGCGCGAGGGCGGCUUAGCCCGGUGGCACCGGUGAAUGACUCCCCUAGCA
rnacentral:rRNA from 1 species